ACGAGUUUGAUCCUGGCUCAGAUUGAACGCUGGCGGCAGGCUUAACACAUGCAAGUCGAGCGGUAACACUUCGGGUGACGAGCGGCGGACGGGUGAGUAAUACAUAGGAAUCUGCCUAGUAGUGGGGGAUAACGUAGGGAAACUUACGCUAAUACCGCAUACAUCCUACGGGGGAAAGCAGGGGAUCUUCGGACCUUGCGCGAUAGGAUGAGCCGACGCCCGAUUAGCUUGUUGGUAGGGUAAUGGCCUACCAAGGCGACGAUCGGUAGCUGGUCUGAGAGGAUGAUCAGCCACACUGGGACUGAGACACGGCCCAGACUCCUACGGGAGGCAGCAGUGGGGAAUAUUGGACAAUGGGCGCAAGCCUGAUCCAGCAAUGCCGCGUGUGUGAAGAAGGCCUGCGGGUUGUAAAGCACUUUUGUUCGGGAAGAAAUCAUGUCGGUUAAUACCCGAUGUGGAUGACGGUACCGAAAGAAUAAGCACCGGCUAACUUCGUG
rnacentral:rRNA from 1 species